UAGGGAAUCUUCCACAAUGGACGCAAGUCUGAUGGAGCAACGCCGCGUGAGUGAAGAAGGUUUUCGGAUCGUAAAGCUCUGUUGUUGGUGAAGAAGUAUAGAGGCAGUAACUGUUCUUUAUUUGACGGUAAUCAACCAGAAAGUCACUGCUAACUACGUGCCAGCAGCCGCGGUAAUACGUAGGUGGCAAGCGUUGUCCGGAUUUAUUGGGCGUAAAGCGAGCGCAGGCGGAAUGAUAAGUCUGAUGUGAAAGCCCACGGCUCAACCGUGGAACUGCAUCGGAAACUGUCAUUCUUGAGUGCAGAAGAGGAGGGUGGAAUUCCAUGUGUAGCGGUGGAAUGCGUAGAUAUAUGGAAGAAAACCAGUGGCGAAGGCGGCUCUCUGGUCUGCAACUGACGCUGAGGCUCGAAAGCAUGGGUAGCGAACAGG
rnacentral:rRNA from 1 species